CGGAACAACUGGCCAAAAGGACGGAUAGUAUCAGUGAAGACUUCGAAAGACGGUCAAGUUCGCUCUGCAGUUGUACAGACCGCCAAUGGAUUCUUCGAAAGGCCUGCGGUGAAGAUAGCAGUUCUAGACGUAGGUGCGUACGGAAGUAAGCCGGACCAAGGUACGACCACUGGGGGGGACUGUUGUUUACGCCCUUUGCGUAACACGGCACCUACGAAAAAGCUGCGCUGAACGCACAUCUUCGACAACAAGCUCCAGAUGACGUGGCGAUGACGGUUGAUUGAAGUGUCACUUGCGAUACUUCGUCAACAGGUGCUGUGUCUAAUGCUCAAUGUAUCAGAUGAAAGAUCAGUUCACAAUAUAGCAACGUAAAUCUAUUAGUUAUUAUUAAAUUAAGAAGCGUGUACUAAGUUUAUACCGAUUACAAAACGGAUUAACAUUGUCGGUGCAUACCGCAGUGGUUAGCCUGUGUGCAGAAGUCGAACGCUAAUAACAAUAACUCAUAUCGAAUUGUACCAGUCAAGACAUCAGUUAUUAGAAAUAUAUCCCAUUAUAUUACGGAUGAUCAGAUUAGCCAACACGAAAAAGUAGGAAGCUUACAAACGUAAGUACACACAGUCAAACUGUAUAUUAGAAAUAAUAAUCGAUCAUGUUCUACAGGAAAUUUUUAAUCGAUCCGUCAAAUAAAUUGAUUAAAACUACGGAAAAACGCUUUCUUAGUUGCAUUCG